rnacentral:lncRNA from 1 species
CCGGCCCAAUGCCCUGGAUCGAUGCUGAGGGAAACUCCUGGUGCACAGUCUGGUCUCCAAAGACACAGUUCCUGUCUUCCACCCCCAGGACUUGCCGGAGCAGCCUCACUUGCAGCCCCCACUCAGCAUCCUGGUGAUUGAGCGCCGGGCCUUUGGCCGCACAGUCCUUGUGGGUUCCACAUUGUCCCCCAUAUGCUGCGAUUCACAUUUCGGGGACACGAGGAUUCUCCUGAGGAGGAAGGAGUGAUGGAGGAGACAGGGAAUAUGAUGCCCAAGGGACCGCAAGGUGAGAAACCUUCUCCUUCAGGG